rnacentral:rRNA from 1 species
AGCAGUCGCCGCGGGAAUACGUAGGGUGCAAGCGUUAAUCGGAAUUACUGGGCGUAAAGCGUGCGCAGGCGGUUAUAUAAGACAGAUGUGAAAUCCCCGGGCUCAACCUGGGAACUGCAUUUGUGACUGUAUAGCUAGAGUACGGCAGAGGGGGAUGGAAUUCCGCGUGUAGCAGUGAAAUGCGUAGAUAUGCGGAGGAACACCGAUGGCGAAGGCAAUCCCCUGGGCCUGUACUGACGCUCAUGCACGAAAGCGUGGGGAGCAAACAGGAUUAGAGACCCCCGUAGUCCCUGUCUCUUAUAC